AUGAGGGCGCCGCCGAGCGCGCCGGGCCGAGCGGAGUGGGCUCCUGCGCUGGCCGCGAACUUUAAACCACUGGGAGGACCACCUGAAGCGCCGUGCCUGGCCCUGGUCACCUACCCGGGCGCACGCCUGGCGCGAGCGGGCCUCGAGUCUGGAAAUGGGGGAGAGGUCUCUGUCGGCUUCUGCCGCGACCCUGCCUUGCGCUCUGGCCUGUGGGUGGGGCGGCGGGACGGCCAACCUGCCUCCCAGGCGCGGUCCCGCUGGGGUCUCGGAACUGGGCUAGGGCCGGGAAGCUCGCGGGCGCCUGGACCCCACCACGAGGCGACCAUCUCCCGCCCUAACCCUGCGGCUCCUGGCGAAUCCAACCUCUUUCCCCGUCUCUCUCGAGCAUCUCACCCCCCAACACACACAAACUCCAACCCCAUCUCCUCAUACCCCCCAUCCCCAUCCACCACCCUCCCACCCCGGCUUGCCCUUGCCUCCCGACCCGGCUGCUGCCACUUUCUCUGCACUUACCCUCGCCCUCCUCGCCCUCCCUCUUGGCAUUCGCUAGUGGUCUCUCACCUUUUCGGGAUGGGGAUGGAUGACCUUGAGGAAGGGGCAGAGAGGAACUUGAGCCUUGGAACUGGGCUUCACCACCAGGGAGAAAGGGGGAGGCAGAUUAAAAGCAGCUUAGGAAGAGGCCACCAGGCCUGCCCCACAGCUAGAUUUCCAGCAGCCCAGAAGGGGGGUGAAAUAGCCAGAGAGAGGGUCCCCAUAGGGCUGUGGCUACUGCUGUUGGCCUUGACCUGGGAAGGUAGGGCUGCCUCUGGCCCUGUGGGCUUGGGGAAGGUGUGUGUGUGUGUGUGUGUGUGUGUGUGUGUAGGGGAGAGGGGCACCUCCUGUCUGCAUCUGUACAGCUGCCGCCACCUGGUCAGGAAGGAACGGCAGAUCUUCCAUCUCUUUUCUCUUUCCAGGAAGGCCGUGCCAGAGCCUUCCUCCUCUGGAGCUAACGACAGCCACCAUUAUCAUCACUGUGGGCAUCCAGCACUUCAUAGGCAGUGCCCCAUGUAG
rnacentral:lncRNA from 1 species